AGGAUUCCCCUAGUAACUGCGAGUGAAGCGGGAAAAGCUCAAAUUUAAAAUCUGGCGGUCUGUGGCCGUCCGAGUUGUAAUCUAGAGAAGUGUUACCCGUGCUGGACCGUGUACAAGUCUCCUGGAAUGGAGCGUCAUAGAGGGUGAGAAUCCCGUCUCUGACACGGACUCCCAGUGCUUUGUGGUAUGCUCUCAAAGAGUCGAGUUGUUUGGGAAUGCAGCUCAAAAUGGGUGGUAAAUUCCAUCUAAAGCUAAAUAUUGGCGAGAGACCGAUAGCGAACAAGUACCGUGAGGGAAAGAUGAAAAGAACUUUGGAAAGAGAGUUAAACAGUACGUGAAAUUGCUGAAAGGGAAACGCUUGAAGUCAGUCGCGUUGGCCGGGGAUCAGCCUCGCUUUUGCGUGGUGUACUUUCUGGUUGACGGGUCAGCAUCAAUUUUGACCGCUGGAAAAAGGUUUGAGGAAUGUGGCAGCUCCGGCUGUGUUAUAGCCUCUAGUCAUAUACAGCGGUUGGGAUUGAGGAACUCAGCACGCCGCAAGGCCGGGUUUCGACCACGUACGUGCUUAGGAUGCUGGCAUAAUGGCUUUAAGCGACCCGUCUUGAAACACGGACCAAGGAGUCUAACAUGCCUGCGAGUGUUUGGGUGGUAAACCCGAGCGCGUAAUGAAAGUGAAAGUUGAGAUCCCUGUCGUGGGGAGCAUCGACGCCCGGACCAGAACUUUUGGGACGGAUCCGCGGUAGAGCAUGUAUGUUGGGACCCGAAAGAUGGUGAACUAUGCCUGAAUAGGGUGAAGCCAGAGGAAACUCUGGUGGAGGCUCGUAGCGAUUCUGACGUGCAAAUCGAUCGUCAAAUUUGGGUAUAGGGGCGAAAGACUAAUCGA
rnacentral:rRNA from 1 species